AACGAACGCUGGCGGCAUGCCUAACACAUGCAAGUCGAACGAGACCUUCGGGUCUAGUGGCGCACGGGUGCGUAACGCGUGGGAACCUGCCCUUAGGUUCGGAAUAACUCCCCGAAAGGGGUGCUAAUACCGGAUAAUGUCUUCGGACCAAAGAUUUAUCGCCGUUGGAUGGGCCCGCGUUGGAUUAGCUAGUUGGUAGGGUAAAAGCCUACCAAGGCGACGAUCCAUAGCUGGUCUGAGAGGAUGAUCAGCCACACUGGGACUGAGACACGGCCCAGACUCCUACGGGAGGCAGCAGUGGGGAAUAUUGGACAAUGGGCGAAAGCAUGAUCCAGCAAUGCCGCGUGAGUGAUGAAGGCCUUAGGGUUGUAAAGCUCUUUUACCCGGGAUGAUAAUGACAGUACCGGGAGAAUAAGCUCCGGCUAACUCCGUG
rnacentral:rRNA from 1 species